rfam:Aquitalea magnusonii strain SM6 contig_45, whole genome shotgun sequence.
UUCGACGGCAGGCCUUGGCGGGAGUCUCCUUGGAGACGCCGGUUCCGAGAUUCCGGUAACGCCAAUCCUGCCAUGUGCCUGCCACCCCC